rnacentral:rRNA from 1 species
AUUGAACGCUGGCGGCAGGCCUAACACAUGCAAGUCGAACGGUAACAGGAAGAAGCUUGCUUCUUUGCUGACGAGUGGCGGACGGGUGAGUAAUGUCUGGGAAACUGCCUGAUGGAGGGGGAUAACUACUGGAAACGGUAGCUAAUACCGCAUAACGUCGCAAGACCAAAGAGGGGGACCUUCGGGCCUCUUGCCAUCGGAUGUGCCCAGAUGGGAUUAGCUAGUAGGUGGGGUAACGGCUCACCUAGGCGACGAUCCCUAGCUGGUCUGAGAGGAUGACCAGCCACACUGGAACUGAGACACGGUCCAGACUCCUACGGGAGGCAGCAGUGGGGAAUAUUGCACAAUGGGCGCAAGCCUGAUGCAGCCAUGCCGCGUGUAUGAAGAAGGCCUUCGGGUUGUAAAGUACUUUCAGCGGGGAGGAAGGGAGUAAAGUUAAUACCUUCGCUCAUUGACGUUACCCGCAGAAGAAGCACCGGCUAACUCCGUG